rnacentral:rRNA from 1 species
UACGUAGGUGGCAAGCGUUGUCCGGAUUUACUGGGCGUAAAGAGCUCGUAGGCGGUGUGUCGCGUCGGCCGUGAAAACCUGCAGCUUAACUGUGGGCUUGCGGUCGAUACGGGCAUCACUGGAGUUCGGCAGGGGAGACUGGAAUUCCUGGUGUAGCGGUGAAAUGCGCAGAUAUCAGGAAGAACACCCGUGGCUAAGGCGGCUCUCUAGUACGGUACUGACGCUGAGACGCGAAAGCGUGGGGAGCGAACAGG